UAGCUCAGUUGGUAGAGCGCUCCACUGGAAAUGGAGAGGUCCCUGGUUGGACCAGG
rfam:Ixodes scapularis strain Wikel colony gcontig_1108378361304, whole genome shotgun sequence.